UACGUAGGGGCCUAGCGUUGUCCGGAUUUAUUGGGCGUAAAGAGCUCGUAGGUGGUUUGUCGCGUUGUUCGUGAAAACUCACAGCUUAACUGUGGGCGUGCGGGCGAUACGGGGCAGACUGGAGUACUGCAGGGGAGACUGGAAUUCCUGGUGUAGCGGUGGAAUGCGCAGAUAUCAGGAGGAACACCGGUGGCGAAGGCGGGGUCUCUGGGCAGUAACUGACGUGGAGGAGCGAAAAGCGUGGGGAGCGAACAGG
rnacentral:rRNA from 1 species